rnacentral:rRNA from 1 species
AUUGAACGCUGGCGGCAGGCCUAACACAUGCAAGUCGAGCGGAUGAAGGGAGCUUGCUCCUGGAUUCAGCGGCGGACGGGUGAGUAAUGCCUAGGAAUCUGCCUGGCAGUGGGGGAUAACGUCCGGAAACGGGCGCUAAUACCGCAUUCGUCCUGAGGGAGAAAGUGGGGGAUCUUCGGACCUUACGCUAUCAGAUGAGCCUAGGUCGGAUUAGCUAGUUGGUGGGGUAAAGGCCUACCAAGGCGACGAUCCGUAACUGGUCUGAGAGGAUGAUCAGUCACACUGGAACUGAGACACGGUCCAGACUCCUACGGGAGGCAGCAGUGGGGAAUAUUGGACAAUGGGCGAAAGCCUGAUCCAGCCAUGCCGCGUGUGUGAAGAAGGUCUUCGGAUUGUAAAGCACUUUAAUUUGGGAAGAAGAGCAGUAAGUUAAUACCUUGCUGUUUUGACGUUACCAACAGAAUAAGCACCGGCUAACUUCGUG